AUUGAACGCUGGCGGCAUGCUUUACACAUGCCAGUCGAACGGUAACAGGCCGCAAGGUGCUGACGAGUGGCGAACGGGUGAGUAAUGCAUCGGAACGUGCCCAGUCGUGGGGGAUAACUACUCGAAAGAGUAGCUAAUACCGCAUACGAUCUAUGGAUGAAAGCGGGGGACCGUAAGGCCUCGCGCGAUUGGAGCGGCCGAUGUCAGAUUAGGUAGUUGGUGGGGUAAAGGCUCACCAAGCCAACGAUCUGUAGCUGGUCUGAGAGGACGACCAGCCACACUGGGACUGAGACACGGCCCAGACUCCUACGGGAGGCAGCAGUGGGGAAUUUUGGACAAUGGGCGCAAGCCUGAUCCAGCAAUGCCGCGUGCAGGAAGAAGGCCUUCGGGAUGUAAACUGCUUUUGUACGGAACGAAACGGCUCUGGUUAAUACCCGGGGCUAAUGACGGUACCGUAAGAAUAAGCACCGGCUAACUACGUG
rnacentral:rRNA from 1 species